rnacentral:rRNA from 1 species
GUUUGAUCAUGGCUCAGGAUGAACGCUAGCGGCAGGCUUAACACAUGCAAGUCGAGGGUAACAGAGGAGCUUGCUUCUGCUGACGACCGGCGCACGGGUGCGUAACGCGUAUGGAAUCUACCUUAUACUGGGGGAUAGCCUUUGGAAACGAAGAUUAAUACCCCAUAGUAAGUAUUUGUGGCAUCACAGAUAUUUUAAAGGUUACGGUAUAAGAUGACCAUGCGUCCUAUUAGUUAGUAGGUGAGGUAACGGCUCACCUAGACUACGAUAGGUAGGGGCCCUGAGAGGGGGAUCCCCCACACUGGUACUGAGACACGGACCAGACUCCUACGGGAGGCAGCAGUGAGGAAUAUUGGACAAUGGAGGAGACUCUGAUCCAGCCAUGCCGCGUGCAGGAAGACGGCCCUAUGGGUUGUAAACUGCUUUUAUACAGGAAGAAACACUACCUCGUGAGGUAGCUUGACGGUACUGUAAGAAUAACGACCGGCUAACUCCGUGC